AUGCCCUGCCUCGGCACCCCCAAGGGGCCCAACCCUGUCUCCUUCUCCAUCCUGGACAGGGAGCCCCGGGACCCCGGGCGGGCGGACGCCUUGUACGUCAUGGGCAGGUGCUGCGACUACUUUGACUUCGAGGCCCUCAUGUACUGCGGCCCCUCCAGCGGCAGCAAAGGCUGGCGGUGGCAUCAGCUCCCGCCGCCGCCCGUGCCUCGCGCCGCCGCCUCCGCCGUCAGGUGCCACGCGCUCAUCCACGACGAAGGCGACCCCGUCCUCGUCGUCUCGUCCGCCAAGACGAGCGGCGUUGGCACCCACUGCUUCAACACCUCCACCAACAGGUGGUUCAAGGCCGGACGCUGGACGCUGCCGUUCGUCGGCCGCGCCGAGCGCGUCAGCGAGCUCGACAACCUCUGGUUUGGCAUCGGCGCCGGCUGGCCCUACGACCUGUGCGCGAUGGACCUCUACUCCCUCCGCGCCGGCGCCGGCGCCGAGGCUCCGGGGCUGGCGUACAGCUGGGGAGACCUUAGCCUGCCGGACGACUGGGUGAUGAUGGACUGCAGCAUGGUGUACCUGGGCGGCGGCAGGUUCUGCGUCGCCAAAAUCUUUGAGUUCCGCGUCGGCGAUGACCGGUUGGGGAUGGGCACUGAAAUUAGUAUGUAA
rnacentral:rRNA from 1 species